rnacentral:rRNA from 1 species
UGGGGAAUAUUGCACAAUGGGCGCAAGCCUGAUGCAGCAACGCCGCGUGAACGAUGAAGGUCUUCGGAUCGUAAAGUUCUGUUGCAGGGGAAGAUAAUGACGGUACCCUGUGAGGAAGCCCCGGCUAACUACGUGCCAGCAGCCGCGGUAAUACGUAGGGGGCUAGCGUUAUCCGGAUUUACUGGGCGUAAAGGGUGCGUAGGUGGUCUUUCAAGUCGGUGGUUAAAGGCUACGGCUCAACCGUAGUUAGCCUCCGAAACUGGAAGACUUGAGUGCAGGAGAGGAAAGUGGAAUUCCCAGUGUAGCGAUGAAAUGCGUAGAUAUUGGGAGGAACACCAGUAGCGAAGGCGGCUCUCUGGACUGCAACUGACACUGAGGCACGAAAGCGUGGGUAGCAAACAGG